rnacentral:snoRNA from 17 species
GUGAAAUGAUGAUUCAGUUUAUCCAUUCGGCUGAGUGUGCUGCAUUGACCUUCUUCCCAAGCCUCAGUUCCUGUUCUAAGAAACUUUUGGUGCUAUGUAGCCUCCAAAUGCCCUGGCAGAUCUGCAAUGGUCUAUUGCAGAUUGCUUGUGUGGUGGUAGCCCAUCUGAUAAAAAGUGGCUUGAUGUCUACAAAGAAUGAUGCCCAUGUGUGGUUCGAAUUUUUACCCAGAUGAGUGGGGGGCAAAUCUAGAUCAU